rnacentral:rRNA from 1 species
GACGAACGCUGGCGGCGCGCCUAACACAUGCAAGUCGAACGAGAGAUGAGGAGCUUGCUCUUCAAAUCGAGUGGCGAACGGGUGAGUAACGCGUGAGGAACCUGCCUCAAAGAGGGGGACAACAGUUGGAAACGACUGCUAAUACCGCAUAAGCCCACGACUCGGCAUCGAGCAGAGGGAAAAGGAGCAAUCCGCUUUGAGAUGGCCUCGCGUCCGAUUAGCUAGUUGGUGAGGUAACGGCCCACCAAGACGACGAUCGGUAGCCGGACUGAGAGGUUGGACGGCCACAUUGGGACUGAGACACGGCCCAGACUCCUACGGGAGGCAGCAGUGGGGAAUAUUGCACAAUGGGGGAAACCCUGAUGCAGCGACGCCGCGUGGAGGAAGAAGGUCUUCGGAUUGUAAACUCCUGUUGUUGAGGAAGAUAAUGACGGUACUC